rnacentral:hammerhead_ribozyme from 1 species
AUCCAGCCGACGAGUCCCAAAUAUGACGAAACGCACUUCAAACUGGAU